AGUGAACGCUGGCGGCGUGCUUAACACAUGCAAGUCGAACGAGAACGGAUUAUAGCUUGCUAUAAUUGUCAGCUAAGUGGCGCACGGGUGAGUAAUGUAUAGGUAAUAUGCCUCUUACUAAGGGAUAACAAAUGGAAACGUUUGCUAAUACCUUAUACUCCUUAUUAACAGAAGUUAAUAAGGGAAAGAUUUAUUGGUAAGAGAUUAGCCUGUAUUGUAUCAGUUAGUUGGUGGGGUAAUGGCUUACCAAGACUAUGACAACUAACUGGUUUGAGAGGAUGAUCAGUCACACUGGAACUGAGACACGGUCCAGACUCCUACGGGAGGCAGCAGUGGGGAAUAUUGCACAAGGGACGAAAGCUUGAUGCAGCAACGCCGCGUGGAGGAUGACACAUUUCGGUGCGUAAACUCCUUUUAUAUGAGAAGAUAAUGACGGUAUUAUAUGAAUAAGCACCGGCUAACUCCGUGCCAGCCGCCGCGGUAA
rnacentral:rRNA from 1 species